rnacentral:rRNA from 1 species
UCCUACGGGGCGCAGCAGUGAGGAAUAUUGGUCAAUGGCCGCAGGGCUGAGCCAGCCAAGUCGCGUGAGGGAUGACGGUCCUAUGGGUUGUAAACCUCUUUUGCCAGGGAGCAAAGGGCGCCACGUGUGGCGUUUUGCGAGUACCUGAAGAAAAAGCAUCGGCUAACUCCGUGCCAGCAGCCGCGGUAAUACGGAGGAUGCGAGCGUUAUCCGGAUUUAUUGGGUUUAAAGGGUGCGCAGGCGGAAUGUCAAGUCAGCGGUAAAAUUUCGGGGCUCAACCCCGUCGUGCCGUUGAAACUGGCGUU